CCGGCAACCAUGAAGUUCAAAAUUUAUCGAGACUUAUAGGAAAUGUUGCAUCCCUUUUGUCUUUACACAAUGAAACUCGUGUGUUAGUUUGUGUUAUACGGAUACAAUAUUUUCUCUUUGACCAAUUUCGAACAAUAUCAUAUAUAUGGUAGCCAUAUCUGGUUUGAAAAUGCUACCUAAAAUCAUAGUUCUGGAAGGUCAUGGACGAUAUGAUCUUGCGACUGAAACAAGGUAGCCCGAAGCAAUUGUUGAAUGGAUUACCUCAACUAGAAGUCGAAACUUCACGAUAAAAGCAUGAGUUGCACCAAAGAAAAUAAGAUGAGAAUUAAGGAUAGGGAGGGACCCCAGUCAUUCCAUGAUGAUACCAUAAGAAAAUAGUUGUGCAAAAGGCUGCGCGCUAUUGAGAAAAAUAACGUGGUUAUUCCAACAAUUAACUUAAAGGGUAAGCAAUAAUGGAGGAAUUCAUCUUUUGUAAGAAAUGCGACGUACGUGAGGACGGACAGGAACAUUAGGAUUGAAAUGGAGGAGGAAAACAAUGCUAGCUGUUGCUUCUGAUCAUCAUAUAUUGCCACCAGGUACAGAAAAGCGGCGACGAAAACUACGGUGGCAACCAGUGCUGCAACCAGCAUGCAUGAUUUGGCAGUUGCGUUCAUCCACUUCUCGCCAGCCUCCAUUAACUUUGCAUGCGUGGAAUCAAACAAAUCAUUUGGCGUCAUCUUAUCCUUGUUUCGCAUGUUCCUGUAUGAAGGUCGAACUAUCUUCUCCACCUCCUGCG
rnacentral:lncRNA from 1 species